rnacentral:rRNA from 1 species
UGGGGAAUUUUGGACAAUGGGCGAAAGCCUGAUCCAGCAAUGCCGCGUGUGUGAAGAAGGCCUUCGGGUUGUAAAGCACUUUUGUCCGGAAAGAAAUCCUUGGCUCUAAUACAGUCGGGGGAUGACGGUACCGGAAGAAUAAGCACCGGCUAACUACGUGCCAGCAGCCGCGGUAAUACGUAGGGUGCAAGCGUUAAUCGGAAUUACUGGGCGUAAAGCGUGCGCAGGCGGUUUGCUAAGACCGAUGUGAAAUCCCCGGGCUCAACCUGGGAACUGCAUUGGUGACUGGCAGGCUAGAGUAUGGCAGAGGGGGGUAGAAUUCCACGUNUAGCAGUGAAAUGCGUAGAGAUGUGGAGGAAUACCGAUGGCGAAGGCAGCCCCCUGGGCCAAUACUGACGCUCAUGCACGAAAGCGUGGGGAGCAAACAGGAUUAGAUACCCUGGUAGUCCACGCCCUAAACGAUGUCAACUAGUUGUUGGGGAUUCAUUUCCUUAGUAACGUAGCUAACGCGUGAAGUUGACCGCCUGGGGAGUACGGUCGCAAGAUUAAAACUCAAAUGAAUUG